UUUCUGAAUUGUGCAGAAGACGUUCUCCUCUUCGUUUUCUUCUCUACCGGAAACUGCAGCCGUUUUCAUUUGUUGCUAUCAGAAACCAAAAGCUAUAGUGAAAUAUUGAUUCGGGUGUUUACAAAACCUUCUUCCUUAGAUGCGAGCGGUGUUUUCUCUGCAUCUUUUUAGGUUACGUGAAGAUCGAGAUGACUAAAUUCUUUGGUUCCAGCUGAGACUUAAAUUUAAGGAGGCUGACUACAUGAACAUGGGACUGCAA